UAUGACUUACAGGUUACCCCAGAAUAGGAAAUAAUGACAUUUAGAUGAAUUAAGCUAUUAAAAGCAAAAAUGACCACAACCUUCAUUAAAAACCAAGUAAAUGUAGCAUAGUAUGUACAAGUGGCGCAUGGUGCCAAUUUUAUUCGCAGCUAUAAUUAUAGAACUCCAUCUCAAAUGUACAAGUUACACUUUUGUCACAGCCUUGGCUAAGUCUUGAACUAGUGCAGAAUUCAGCUGUGGUAGAAUGCUGAUAUAGCCUUGCCUA